UUGGAGGGGUCCUAAAGUUCUCUUUUUAUACCCUGACUGGUAAAAAGCUAUGACAGAAACAGUGGGUGACAAGCGAGGAAUGGGAAGGUUUUCAAGAGGUUCAGGGUAAAGCAGGCCUGGCUGAUGGUUUUGAAUGCUGGGGGUUGGCAGUCCUGAAUCCUCACCUGAGCCUUUCCCUUUCACCAAGAAGCUGCAAGCUGCCCCAAGACAAAAGAUAAGGCUGUGGCCACACAGUGGAAUAUUCCCAG